AUUUAUAUAAUUUAUAAAGAAUAUUACAUUGAAGAUGUAAAAGAGAUAAGAAUAUCUAUAAAUA
rnacentral:tRNA from 1 species